GCCGGUGCGAAUCCGGCGCGGUCGCGCCACUGUGACGACCUCGGCACCGUCUGCCGGUGCCGCCCGGUCGGAGUCAGA
rnacentral:ncRNA from 2 species